rnacentral:rRNA from 1 species
UACGAGGGGGGCAAGCGUUGUCCGGAAUCAUUGGGCGUAAAGAGCGUGUAGGCGGCCACUUAAGUCCUGCGUGAAAUCUUGCGGCUCAACCGCAAGAGGUCGUGGGAAACUGGGUGGCUAGAGUGCGGGAGAGGAGAGUGGAAUUCCUGGUGUAGCGGUGGAAUGCGCAGAUAUCAGGAAGAACACCCGUGGCGAAGGCGGCUCUCUGGAACGCAACUGACGCUGAGACGCGAAAGCGUGGGGAGCAAACAGG